GUUUUGGUUUGCAUUCGAAAAUGUUUGUAAAAUAAAUAAACAUGAAAAAAAUCGAUUUGUUUGUCUGUUGAUAAAAGUUUUCUCGCAUCAUGGGUUUGAUAGUUCAUCCAUAAGAUUUGGCAGCACGUGUAAACAGCUAUAUUUGCAAAGAUCUGUUCUUAAAGGUCAUUUAGAUUUCUUGAAGAAAGUUAUAUUGAAUAGCCGAUAAUAUGAGCUAAAUCAAAAUUAUUUCAUUUAAAAAGUUGCGCAAAAAAGAAGAAGACUACGGUAUUGUUAGAUCAACACUAAAUGAAAAUGAUUGUAACGUUCUCUCUGCUUACUAAAUUUAUAUUAUUUUCCUACUUGUAUCAACCUUCAAAACAAGUCCAUCUGUCGUCGCAUUAGUUAUACCUUGAACCAACCGAAUUAGCGACGAUCCUCAGAUAAGUUUGAUGGAACAUGUAAAACGAAAAAGAAACCCGACUAAUCCAUUUGAAAUUGAGAGACAAAAACAAUAAAUGAAUUAAAAUCAA